CACGGACCCCUGAACAGCUGGACAGCUGGGCUGUGGGCAGGACAGGGGACUCUGGCUGAAGCCGCGUUCAUAUGUGUUCAGCUUUAGGCCUCCACUGUGCCCGGACCAGCGGCCCACUCAGUGAGUCGAGUGUGCACCUGGCACCCCUCUUUCUGGAAAUCCACGAACAAUGGGCUCCCAGCAGAGGACUGAGGCUGAGCAGGCCACUUCCCUGGAGCUGACCCCACAGCUGUGUAGGUACAGGGUGGCCGUGAACACUUAGGGCUCUCUCGGGCUGUGCACUUCUUGUUCACCGCAGCGAGCAGGGUGUUGGCUCCUGACCAAGCCCUGUCACUGCUGCCCAGCCACACGUGGGGCCCCCUUCACCCACCCCUGACCACCUCAUGCAGGUGACGCCACUGUGGAAACAGCCUGGCAGUCCCUUGAAAAAUGAAGUCAUAAACCCCAGCAAUUGCACUCCUGGGCCUCUGACAGAGCUUGCACGUCCCCUCCAAAGCUCAUGUUAAGCUGUGAGCCCCAGUGCCGGAGGUGGGGCCUGGUGUGUUUGGGUUCUGGGGGUGGAUCCCUCAUGGCUGGGUGCCAUGAACCCACUCACCACAGUUCUCACGAGAUCUGGUUGUUGAGAAGUGUGUCAUACCUCCCCCACAACUCUCUGUCUUUUGUUCCGGCUCUGGCCAUGUAACAAGCCUGCUCCUUCUUCGCCUUCUGCCAUGACUGUAAGCUUUCUGAGGGCUGACCAGAAGCCCAGCAGAUGCCAGCACCAUACUUCCUAUACAGCCUGCAGAACCGCGAGCCAGCUAAACCUCUCCUCAUAAAUCACCGAGCCCCAGGUUUAUCUUUACAGCAAUGCAAGACCUGACCAAUACAGCACAAGCUCCCCAAAAUAAAAAGAAAUAUUCAAACAAAUAAGCGCACAGAAGUGUUCCCAGCAG
rnacentral:lncRNA from 1 species